UACGAAGGGUGCAACCGUUGCUCGGAAUUAUUGGGCGUAAAGCGCACGUAGGCGGCAUUGCAAGUCCCAUGUGAAAUCCCACGGCUUAACCGUGGAAGUGCAUGGGAAACUGCAGUGCUUGAGUACUUAAGAGGAUCGCGGAAUUCCCGGUGUAGAGGUGAAAUUCGUAGAUAUCGGGAGGAACACCAGUGGCGAAGGCGGCGAUCUGGGAAGAUACUGACGCUGAGGUGCGAAAGCGUGGGGAGCAAACAGG
rnacentral:rRNA from 1 species